GACGAACGCUGGCGGCGUGCCUAAUACAUGCAAGUCGAGCGGACCUCUUCGGAGGUUAGCGGCGGUCGGGUGAGUAACACGUGGGCAACCUGCCUGUAAGACUGGGAUAACUCCGGGAAACCGGAGCUAAUACCGGAUAGUAUCUUGAACCGCAUGGUUCAAGUUGGAAAGACGGUUUCGGCUGUCACUUACAGAUGGGCCCGCGGCGCAUUAGCUAGUUGGUGAGGUAAUGGCUCACCAAGGCAACGAUGCGUAGCCGACCUGAGAGGGUGAUCGGCCACACUGGGACUGAGACACGGCCCAGACUCCUACGGGAGGCAGCAGUAGGGAAUCUUCCGCAAUGGACGAAAGUCUGACGGAGCAACGCCGCGUGAGUGAUGAAGGUUUUCGGAUCGUAAAACUCUGUUGUUAGGGAAGAACAAGUGCGAGAGUAACUGCUCGCACCUUGACGGUACCUAACCAGAAAGCCACGGCUAACUACGUGCCAGCAGCCGCCGUAACAC
rnacentral:rRNA from 1 species